rnacentral:lncRNA from 1 species
AGGCCCAGGCGAUGCCCUGGAUGCCGACGGUGGCGCACUUGGAGUCGGAUUUGCUGACGCCCAUGACGGUGAGGACGGUGAUGUAGAGGAAGAGGAAGGUGGCGAUGAAUUCGGCGAUCCCAGCUCGGUAGAACGACCACGACGCCAGCUCGGAGGCGUCGAAGAGCGGGGCGGGCGGCGGCUCCUUGUAGUCCUUGUCCUGGCUCUGCGCCGCCGUGCCGAUGGGCUGGUGCUCCGGGAACUUGUUGGCUCCGACCCUCACGUCCUCCUCUUUGUUCUCCAUCUCUGCAACUCAAACAAGAGUGAAGGUAGCUGGCUAGCUGAGAAAGGUAGGAAUGUAGUGUAAUUUGAUUGUGUGAGUGAUGGGGUAAUGUUGGUCAAGUGGGGGGCAUAAUUUAUAGAGAGAUAAUGUGGUAAGAGGAGGUUGCGCAGAUGGCAUUUUAGAUUAUUUUAGAUCAUUUAUCUGGUAAUUUUGGUGCUCUAUUUCGUAUGAGCAUUUCAUUGUAAAUUUUAUUAAUUUUAUCUUCAAUUUUAAUAUAUAUAUAGGGAGCGGUUAUUCAAUAAACCACUCUUAUUUUAAGAAUUGCGAACCAGCAAAAAUGCAUGAAUUUUAUGUAUAACAUGCAUGAAUAAACUGUACAAAGGUACGAAUUGCGAAAAAUAAUUUUUUGCUACCUUUGGGAUUCGAACUCAGGACCAUGAAUUUAUCCAACAAGGUGAUGAAUCAACCGUAGAUCUUGAUGAUCUAAGGGCUGAAAAUGGUUCCUAAUUUAUAUUUUAAGAAGCGUUCUUAUUUUAGCCUUCCCUAUAUAUAUAUAUAUAUAUAUAUAUAUAUAUAUAUAGUAUGAGUGUGGUUCUAGAGAGAACUAUAUUAUUUGUGAGAAUGUGAGAACCAUCAAAUCUAAUGCAUCUACUGUAAAAAUUAAUGCAUUCGCUGUUAAAAUUAGUGCACUCAAAAAAAUAAAAAUAAAAAUUACUCCCUUCAGGAUUCGAACCCAGGAUCUGCAUUCAUCCAACAAGAUGAUGCAUCCGCCGUAGAUCUUGAUGAUCGAAUGGCUGAAAAAUGGUUCUCCAUUCUUAUUUUAUUUAAUAGUUCUUUCUUGAACCUCUCCCUAUAUAUAUAUAUAUAUAUAGUAUGUAUAUAUAUAUAUAUAUAUAUAUNGUCUUUUCUCCAACAACGAGGCUGUGCGAUGGCACAUAAACGAGAAAGAAUUUUUUGCAGUCAGGAAGGACGUUCAAAAAAUGGCCGCUAUUCUUACUUAGCUAAAAAUUUAGUUUGAAAGUUGAUAACACUAACGUUAAAGCUUUCUUAACUAAAAGUUUGAAUCUAAACCUGAAAAGGCUAGAUUGAUUAGGUGGCAAGCAGAAUGCCAAUAUUAUGAUUAUGAUAUUGUCGUUUUGAAAUCUGAUCAGAAUGUUCUUGCAGAUUUCCUUACAAGGGAUGGAGCUCCCUGAAGUGGAGGCCAUCGAGGCAAUACAGGGGCAGCUCUUUGAAAGUCUAGAGCUGCUACAACAAGAGUGGCACAGGUGUGUGCUGCAUACUAAACAAGCAGGAAAGAUACAGGCGGCUGACGAAGCCAAAGUAUCUAGCCAAAUUGAUGUCUGUUUCAUGAAGAUGUUCAAUCUUCAGGAAGCAACUGACAAGCCGCUCUUGCGCGCUGUCCGUGAAAAUCGGGCUAAAGCAAUGCUUUCCGUACAGGCGAUACCUGUAGCAGGGAUUCAAGUACCCUAGCCCAAGUCCUGAGAGAAUGGUUCACAGCCGGACUCUCGAGGAAAAGAUGUUGUUAAGGGGUCACUCCCUGAAUCAACAUGUCAACCCUCCACCUCUGGGGUAAAGAGGGAGAGAUCAGUCUUAGGCCCAUGACAGGCCAAGUUAAGGUUGAUACUGAUUUUAUAUUUUUCUCCUUCUUGGCAGAUUAUCAGGACAGGUGGGAGAAACUUCUUACGAGAAGGGGCAUUAAUCCGGGAAAUUGCGGGUUGAUGUUGCCGGAAAAUAUCCAAGGGUUUGGUUGACUCCAGGAGCCAAUCCAAACGAUGUUAAGGAAUGGUAUGAGUUUGGGGCUUUGGCUUCAGUUUAUACCACUUCCCCGGCCUUCACCGAAAUCAAGGGUCUACCCAAAUGGAUCCAGAAAACGGUGUUCGACGCAUGGGAGAACAACGAGUCCCUCAAAAGGGGAGAUGUUCUGGAAUUGUAUUUUUUCAGUGCAGCUCCAGAGCCAGUUGGCAAAGGAGUCUGUGAAGCUUUCCAUUCAUUAAGCUUCGGAGACCUGAUACGGGAGCCUUUAACCGGAUCAAAGUUCCUGAGUUUCAUGCCGCAAUCGUCUCAACAUUUACGGAGGAUCAAAUUUCCACUAGACGAGCAUGGGGUCUUUGGGUCUGUCUUACAGAGAUGGACAAAAUGAAGUCCAGAUUCAAGUUCUUUCAGAGCUCGGAUCUGGGAACGUUCCUGGUUAAUUCCAUGACAGGAACCACAACUCCUUUUGCUGAAGAUUCUUUCGAGAAUAAGCGGCAAAUUAUUUGGGAAAACAGGAUUGCGGGGAGCCAGGAGACUCGUCGCAAGUUUUGCAAUAUGGCUCAUGUUGGCCAUUGGAUCGAUAGAAUCUGCGAUCAAUGUUCGUCGCAGAAGGAGCCAGAAUUCGGCAAAGGUUUCUUUCCGAAGCCUGAUAAAGGAGGUUCCGGUCUGAUGAACAUGAUGAGCGUCAGACUCCAAAGGGAAGGACACCUCGGGCACCAAAAAGGUAAGGUGGCCGACAAAGCUGAGUGAAUCAUGUGAUUCACAGCAAGGAUCGCACCCACAAAAGAAACGACAAAAGUGGGUGGAAGAACAGGAGGACCACUCACCAAAAGCUUCAGGACAAAAGUGGGUGGAGAGAAAAGUAGCCGGCCCCUACCAGCAUUAUCACAAGACGAUAAGGCGGGGGUCCAGCACCAUGUGAUGCCACUAACAAGUGUCGGCAAUCAAGGCCGACAGAAGAAGGUGGAUGUCAUAUUCAAGCAAGCUGGCCACGAGGAUGGAAUCCGAGGCCAACGACCAAGCAAUUAUAGAGGGGUUCAAACCUCUAUAUAAACCCAAGUGCUGGAGAGGAGAAAUCAUCCGAAAAUUCACAACAUUUUCACACACCACUUCCUCUCUCUAGAAUUAUCUUUGUAAUUUUUUAAAUUUUGUUUUCAAAGUUUUUCGUUUUAGUUUUAGUCCUUUUUAUUUUAUGUACACAAGUAUUGGCUACUAUGUGUAGCUAAAACAAGUUAGUCUCUCCCUUGGGAGUUUUUUAGAAUAAAUUAAUUUUUAUAUAAUUCCUCUAUAAACACUUAGUUUUGUCCAACUGUUCCGGUUUAGUAUAAAUAUUUCUUUUCAUUUUCAACAAAAAUAUUUGGCGUCGACACACAGUGAAGGAGGGAAACUGAUUCCUGAAGGUGACCAUUCGGCGAAAGCCGGAACACAGUGAAGGAAGAAGGUUGCAACCAUCACUUGCGAGUGUGUGGUUGGAUGAAGGCCGUGGAGGCAAGAAGUCCGUAAACGCGAUAAAGCUCCGGAAGGUGACCAGUCGACAAGAGGUAUGCUGUUGAUUUAUGAUUUGAAUUAUUUCGAAGUUGUACGGAAGCAUGUUGGGCCUGAUUAUGUAUUAAUUGAAUUUUGAUAAUUUGAACAUGAAAUGGUUUGAUGAUGGAUUUGUUGAGGAUUUGUUGAGGGGUAGUUUUGGCAUUAAUAAUGAGUUGGAUAUGGUUGAUAUGUGUUUUGUGAAAGUGGGUAUUUUUGAUAGAUAAGUUAUGAAGGUGGGUAUUUUAAAUUUUGACCCAUAAUAUUUUGGGUGCUCAUAAAUCACAACUCAAUUGUAAACCCAUAAUUCGAGGUCUUGAUUGUAAUCUUAACAAUUACUGAUAUCUAAAUUUCGAAAGAUAAUGUUUGAAAUAAUAAUUUAAAAUUUUAUCUAACUUAUUAUAUGAUGAAACAAUAAUGUUUCAUUAUUAAUCCAAUUUUAUCGUUUAGCAAGACUUCUUCCGUUCAAACCAAAAACAUGUAAAACUAUUUAAUAAAGACAUGAUUUAUACUUAAUGUGCAAAUAAAAAAUUAUGUAAAAAUUGGCAUAUUCAGACAUUAUUAUACUCCAAGUGAAAGUAAAGCAAUUAACAAUCCUACGUUAGGCUUUCCAUUCAAAUAACUCAAAACCCAUCGUAUGAUUACAUAGAUUGCAAGGCCUCUUACGCAAAUGAUACAAUUUACAACACAAGUCGGCAAAGAAAACAUGAAACAAAAUAGAAAAAACACUAGAGAAAAAAAGCCCCAAAUUGAAGACUAGUGGAAUCACAGUUUCAUGACUUAGACUUGAACGGAAUUGCCCUUAUCACCACCUGAUGGUACAGAGCUGCCAGCGCCGCUCCGAUGAAUGGUCCCACCCGAGAAUACUCCACUGCCACACGCAACAUUAUUUCACAUCCAAUUAUUACUACUAAAUAUUAUUCACAUUCAUCCUAAAAUUUCUUAAUUUAAUAUUGUUAAUUUAUCAAAAAUAAAAAAAAUCUACACUAUCUAUAUAAUGUAAUGCUAAUGAAGCUUACGUGGUCGUCCCAGGCGUGGCUCUUGUUGUAGAUGAUGGCGGCGCCGAGACUCCGGGCGGGGUUGAUACCGGUUCCGGUGAUCGGGAUCGUCGCCAAGUGCACCAAAAACACCGCGAACCCAAUAGGCAACGGAGCCAAUAUCUACAAAAAUUCAUCAAUCAAUUUGUUUGCCUAACAAAUUCCAAACUCAUGAUGAAUUUUAUUUUCUAAUUAUAAUAUACUCACGGGGACAUGGGAGUCUCUGGCGCUGCGCUUGGCGUCGGUGGCGGAGAAGACGGUGUAGACGAGCACGAAAGUGCCGAUGAUCUCGGCGCCGAGGCCGCUGCCCUUGGUGUAGCCGUGCGCCACCGUAUUGGCGCCGCCGCCCUUGCUCAUGUAGAGGGUCUUCCCGAAGCCCUUGACGACGCCGGCGCCGCAGAUGGCGCCGAGGCACUGCAUGACCAUGUAGAAGACGGCGCGGUUGAGCGACAGCUUCCUGGCGAGGAAGAGGCCGAAGGUGACGGCGGGAUUGAUGUGGCCGCCGGAGAUUCCGGCGGUGCAGUAGACGAGGGAGAAGAUCAUGCCGCCGAAGGCCCAGGCGAUGCCCUGGAUGCCGACGGUGGCGCACUUGGAGUCGGAUUUGCUGACGCCCAUGACGGUGAGGACGGUGAUGUAGAGGAAGAGGAAGGUGGCGAUGAAUUCGGCGAUCCCAGCUCGGUAGAACGACCACGACGCCAGCUCGGAGGCGUCGAAGAGCGGGGCGGGCGGCGGCUCCUUGUAGUCCUUGUCCUGGCUCUGCGCCGCCGUGCCGAUGGGCUGGUGCUCCGGGAACUUGUUGGCUCCGACCCUCACGUCCUCCUCUUUGUUCUCCAUCUCUGCAACUCAAACAAGAGUGAAGGUAGCUGGCUAGCUGAGAAAGCAGUGUAAUUUGAUUGUGUGAGUGAUGGGGUAAUGUUGGUCAAGUGGGGGGCAUAAUUUAUAGAGAGAUAAUGUGGUAAGAGGAGGUUGCGCAGAUGGCAUUUUAGAUUAUUUUAGAUCAUUUAUCUGGUAAUUUUGGUGCUCUAUUUCGUAUGAGCAUUUCAUUGUAAAUUUUAUUAAUUUUAUCUUCAAUUUUAAUACAUUAUUCCCUCCGUCACAUAUGAAGCUGUGGGUGACAGUAAAAU